rnacentral:rRNA from 1 species
CAGAGGGUGCGAGCGUUGUCCGGAAUCACUGGGCGUAAAGGGCGCGUAGGUGGCGGCCCAAGUCCAUGGUGAAAGCUCGCCGCUCAACGGCGAGUCGGCCACGGAUACUGGGUUGCUCGAGCACUGUAGGGGCAGAUGGAAUUCCGGGUGUAGCGGUGGAAUGCGUAGAGAUCCGGAAGAACACCAGUGGCGAAGGCGGUCUGCUGGGCAGUUGCUGACACUGAUGCGCGACAGCGUGGGGAGCAAACAGGAUUAGAUACCCUGGUAGUCCACGCCGUAAACGAUGGGCACUAGAUGCUUGGGGGAGCGACCCCCUGAGUGUCGUCGCUAACGCAGUAAGUGCCCCGCCUGGGGAGUACGGCCGCAAGGCUG